rnacentral:rRNA from 1 species
UAGGGAAUCUUCCACAAUGGGCGCAAGCCUGAUGGAGCAACGCCGCGUGAGUGAAGAAGGUCUUCGGAUCGUAAAACUCUGUUGUUAGAGAAGAACAUGCAGGAGAGUAACUGUUCAUUCGAUGACGGUAUCUAACCAGCAAGUCACGGCUAACUACGUGCUAG